rnacentral:rRNA from 1 species
GACGAACGCUGGCGGCGUGCCUAAUACAUGCAAGUAGGACGCAGUUGCGAACGGGUGAGUAACGCGUAGGUAACUGCCUAUUAGAGGGGGAUAACUAUUGGAAACGAUAGCUAAUACCGCAUACUAGUAGAUGGACCUGCGUUGUAUUAGCUAGUAGGUAGGGUAAUGGCCUACCUAGGCGCCGAUACAUAGCCGACCUGAGAUGGUGAUCGUCCCAACGGGUACUGAGACACGGCCAAGACUCCUAAGGGAGGCAGCAGUAGGGAAUCUUCGGCAAUGGGGGGAACCCUGACGGAGCAACGCCGCGGGAGUGAAGAAGGUUUUCGGAUCGUAAAGCUCUGUUGUUAAGGAAGCGGUACUUAACCAAAAAGGGACGGCUAACUACGUGCCAGCAGCCGCGGUAAUAA